ensembl:rRNA 5S_rRNA 5S ribosomal RNA
GUCUACGGUCCCGCUGCCCUGAACGUGCCCGAUCCCGUCUGAGCUCGGAAGCUAAGCAGGGUCGGGCCUGGUGAGUACUUGGAAGGGAGACCACCUAGGAAGACUGGGUGCUGUUUGCG